rnacentral:rRNA from 1 species
GUGCCAGCCGCCGCGGUAAUACGGAGGGUGCAAGCGUUAUCCGGAAUUACUGGGUUUAAAGGGUGCGUAGGCGGCUUAGUAAGUCAGGGGUGAAAGGCUACGGCUCAACCGUGGAAUUGCCUUUGAUACUGCUGAGCUUGAAUGAGGUUGAGGUGAGCAGAAUGUGGCAUGUAGCGGUGAAAUGCAUAGAUAUGCCAUAGAAUACCGAUUGCGAAGGCAGCUCACUGGACCUGGAUUGACGCUGAGGCACGAAAGCGUGGGGAGCGAACAGGAUUAGAAACCCCGGUAGUCC